rnacentral:rRNA from 1 species
CCUACGGGGAGCAGCAGUAGGGAAUCUUUCACAAUGGGCGAAAGCCUGAUGGAGCAACGCCGCGUGCAGGAUGAAGGCCUUCGGGUUGUAAACUGCUUUUAUAAGCGAGAAAUAUGAUGGUAACUUAUGAAUAAGGAUCGGCUAACUACGUGCCAGCAGCCGCGGUCAUACGUAGGAUCCGAGCAUUAUCCGGAGUGACUGGGUGUAAAGAGUUGCGUAGGUGGCAUAAUAAGUAGCUAGUGAAAUCUGGUGGCUCAACCAUUCAGACUAUUAGCUAAACUGUUAAGCUCGAGACCGUUAGGGGUAACUGGAAUGUCUAGUGUAGGAGUGAAAUCCGUAGAUAUUAGAAGGAACACCAAUAGCGUAGGCAGGUUGCUGGGACGGUUCUGACACUAAGGCACGAAAGCGUAGGGAGCAAACGGGAUUAGAUACCCCAGUAGUC